UACGUAGGGGGCGAGCGUUGUCCGGAUUUAUUGGGCGUAAAGAGCUCGUAGGCGGCUUUGCAAGUCGGGUGUGAAAUCCCUCAGCUCAACUGAGGAAGUGCGCCCGAAACUGCAGAGCUUGAGUACCGGAGAGGAUGGCGGAAUUCCCGAAGUAGAGGUGAAAUUCGUAGAUAUCGGGAGGAACACCGGUGGCGAAGGCGGCCAUCUGGACGGAUACUGACGCUGAGACGCGAAAGCGUGGGGAGCAAACAGG
rnacentral:rRNA from 1 species